CCUACGGGGGGCAGCAGUGAGGAAUAUUGGUCAAUGGACGCAAGUCUGAACCAGCCACGUCGCGUGAAGGAAGACGGCCCUACGGGUUGUAAACUUCUUUUGUAAGGGAAUAAAGUGAGCCACGUGUGGCUUUUUGCAUGUACCUUACGAAUAAGGAUCGGCUAACUCCGUGCCAGCAGCCGCGGUAAUACGGAGGAUCCGAGCGUUAUCCGGAUUUAUUGGGUUUAAAGGGUGCGCAGGCGGGGGAUUAAGUCGGCGGUGAAAUUUUGCAGCUCAACUGUAAAAGUGCCUUCGAAACUGGUUUCCUUGAGUGUAGAUGAAGUAGGCGGAAUUUGUGGUGUAGCGGUGAAAUGCAUAGAUAUCACGAGGAACUCCGAUUGCGCAGGCAGCUUACUAAACUACUACUGACGCUCAGGCACGAAGGCGUGGGGAUCAAACAGGCUUAGAUACCCUAGUAGUC
rnacentral:rRNA from 1 species